UACGAAGGGGGCUAGCGUUGCUCGGAAUUACUGGGCGUAAAGCGCACGUAGGCGGAUUGUUAAGUCGGGGGUGAAAGCCUGUGGCUCAACCACAGAAUUGCCUUCGAUACUGUAGAGCUUGAGACCGGAAGAGGUAAGUGGAACUGCGAGUGUAGAGGUGAAAUUCGUAGAUAUUCGCAAGAACACCAGUGGCGAAGGCGGCUUACUGGUCCGGUAUUGACGCUGAGGCGCGAAAGCCAGGGGAGCAAACGGG
rnacentral:rRNA from 1 species